rnacentral:rRNA from 1 species
GAUGAACGCUGGCGGCGUGCCUAAUACAUGCAAGUCGAGCGAACGGACGAGAAGCUUGCUUCUCUGAUGUUAGCGGCGGACGGGUGAGUAACACGUGGAUAACCUACCUAUAAUACUGGGAUAACUUCGGGAAACCGGCGCUAAUACCGGAUAAUAUUUUGCACCGCAUGGUUCAAAAGUGAAAGACGGUCUUGCUGUCACUUAUAGAUGGAUCCGCGCUGCAUUAGCUAGUUGGUAAGGUAACGGCCUACCAAGGCAACGAUGCAUAGCCGACCUGAGAGGCUGAUCGGCCACACGGGAGCGGGAACACGGUCCAGACUCCUGCGGGAGGCAGCAGUAGGGAAUCUUACGCAGUGGGCGGAAACCUGGCGCAGCAGCGCCGCGUGAGUGAUAGAGGUCUUCGGAUCGGAAAACUCUGUUAUGAGGGGAAAACAUAUGUGGAAUGAACUGUGGACAGCUUGACGGUACCGAAUCAGAAAGCAACGGCUAACUACGUG